rfam:Oryza brachyantha chromosome 2, whole genome shotgun sequence.
AUACCUUUCUCGGCCUUUUGGCUAAGAUCAAGUGUAGUAUCUGUUCUUAUCAGUUUAAUAUCUGAUAUGUGGGCCAUGUGUCCACUGUGAUAUUAAAUUUAUUUUUUGUGGGGAAGGACCCACUACAUUGGCUUGCCAAUGGGGUCCUCACGCGUUGCCUAGGCGUUGCACUGCUGCCUGGGCCUGGCGCACCCCAA